rnacentral:lncRNA from 1 species
UUCCCUUCACCAAUUCUUCAUAUCUUCUCUGUUCAUCUAUUGGUAAGCGAAAGCUGAAAUUCAUACUCUUCUCUUGCUAUUUUUUUGUUUAUAGGGUUCCAACUAAUUUGUGACUAAGCCAUAGUAAUUGUUGUUAUGAUAGUUGAAGAUGUGCUUUAGUCACAAAUAAUAUUAGUUUAGUUUUCAAUUUUGUUUUUAGGUAAGGAUGAUGAGAAGUAAAACCCCAUGGAAAAUUAAAACCCCACAGAA